GGGGGGAGCGCCGGAUCUUUGGCUGUGUCCCCGGCGCCCUGGGCUCCGGGCCUGCGCCGCUGGAAUGGCACUUCCGGGCCGCGCAGCUCCCC
rnacentral:pre_miRNA from 1 species